rnacentral:lncRNA from 1 species
AUAUUUUGAAGAUGACUUUGAGGUUUUUGGAGAGAAAGAGUUGCAGGUUGUUGGAGGGAGCGGGGGAUAGCUUGAGGAGGAGACCAGCUGGAAAAAGGGAGAAAAAAAAUGGGGUUUUACAGAGGAGCUGAAGAGGAGAAGAGGAGGUUUUCUUUUUCUAGGAUUCAGGGGUUUUGAGUGAGAGUUGAGAAAAUGUGUGAAAUAGAAAGAGUGAAUCAGUAGAGAGGGGAUUUUAACUUUAGUGAGGGCCAUUCUAGAGAGAGUUAGAGAGGAGAAAGGGGCAUUUGGAGCAGCAAAGACAAGAAGCAAAAGAGAGUAGCAAGGGAGGAGAAGUAGAGAAUCAACUCGCCAUUCUUUUUCUCGUUUGGGUAUGAUUACAACUUAUUUUACAUUUCCCAUUUUAGAUUGUUCUCCUUUGUUUCCUAUUGGUUUUAGGUUGAUCUUGGUGCUUGAAUGUGGACAUUUGAUAUUGUGCAUAUUUGUGAAAUCUAAGACCGAUUUUUAUGCAUUUUUGUUGAUUCUAGUAUGGCUCAUUAGGCCGUUUGUAAAUAACUUGUGCAGUCCUCUGUUCAUGAACAACUUGACUAUGGAUCCAUCAUUGAAUCUGAUUUUUAAAGAUCAUGCUCUUUCUUCCUUUUGAUUCCACCUAUAUCCAGCCCAUUGACAUUUAUGAAAUGGAGCUAGAUUUAAUCGUGUUAUUUCCGUUUGUGCAUGCUCUAUUUCUAUUUUUACUUUCUUCUUUGUUUUGGCCAUGUUUGGAGUGUUGGGUAUCACGUUUGGGCUGGCCAUCUUGGUCGGGGUGCUUCUGAGCAAGCUCAAAUCAGUCUAAUAGAUUUAGCUAUGGAAGAAGUCAAGGAUUGGAGCUCUAUUGAAGCAGUCUGCUACAGCUUGAUAUUGUUUGGUCUUUUGAAGAAACGUUCAUUGUUUUAUCCAACAUUAGGGUCUUUGGUAGACAUUGUUCUAUUGUCUAUUUGGUGAGCUAAUGGUUAUCAAGCCAAGGAAGACAUGAAAGAGGCCUGCUAAUAGCAAGAUAUGACAUCGUUUCUCUUAACGAUGAUGAGUUAAAUGAAGAAAAUUAUUCUGAUGUCAUUUCCAUUGAUCAGAUGUUGGAAGAGGACUUUCUCCAAGUUGGUGGUUGAAAACGUCUUUUUCAAGUAUCCGAAUUCUUUGUAGAGGAGGAACUCCAAGACAUGCUAAAUUGCUAAGGUGCUUAGUGAAUGUUCCAUGCUUAUAUGAUACCUAGACACCCGGUUACAGCUUCUGAUGACCUAUACCAGUGGAUAAAUCGGAUUCACCAUUGUUUACUCUAGAGUUAAGUCUCGGGAAGGGUUGGAAAAGUAUGAAUGGUGUUGGAGUGGUUGGAAAUGUAGUUGAUACUAUAGCUAGAGGAUGUGAAAGAGAUGGCCAUCUCUUCCUCCUUAUUAGCUAAAGCUGAGAGUGAUUCAUUUCUUCGCGGGAUUGAUUCCACCACUGGUGGUUUUGAAGCUGAUAUCUCCAAGGGUGGACCAACCCGUGGGUAUGUACAUUCUUGUUUUUACUCUUGGUGCGAAGUAGAUAAUUUGCCACUAAAAUGAGACAGACGACACGACACCAAUGUGCUCUAAGAUAGUGCUUCACAGGUGACAAUAUGAUAGAAAGGCCUACCAACCUUGACUAGUAUAAAGGCCCGACUCUUCUUGAGGACCUAGACAUGAUCAAUAAGCCCAAGAGGCCCUUAGACAAGCCACCGUAUCUUCCUUUAUAGGAUGUGUAUGAGAUUGGUGGGAUUGGAACUGUCUUAGUGGGACGUGUAGAAGCUGGUGCCCUGAAGUCCAGUAUGGUGGUGACUUUUGGCCUAUCUAAACUGAUAGCUAAAUUUAGGCCCAAUGAGACAUGCCUUCAGUCACUCCUAGAGGCUAUGCUUAGUGACAAAUUAAGCUUCAACAUGAAAAUUGUUGUUGUGAAUGAUCUAAAAUGUGGUUUUGUUGCAUCUAGAUCCAAAUAUUGAUCCUAUAAAGGAAACUACCAGUUUCACCACCCAGAUCAUCAUCAUGGACUACCCUAGUCAGAUCAUAAAUGGUUAUGCUCCUAUUCUUGGUUGCAACUUCGUCUACCACUCACAUCCCCAAUCCACCAUACCUAUCAUCAUACCCAUAUCUUCAUCUUUGAUACCCACUUCUCUCACUACCUCCUCCACUCAUUCUACCACCAAACCCAAUUAUCUCAAUACCUCCCUCACUCAUUCUUCCAUUCAUUUCCCUAUAAGUUUCUUUUCCUAGUCUUUCCCAGACGCAUGCAUGGCCACCCUUAGAUACCUCAUUUUCCAAACCCAUUUAUUUCAAUUACUCCCACAUACCUUUCUACUCAUCCCCUAUGCGCAAGCAACUUUUGCAUUGCACAACCAUCCUCGAUGGUCUCCACGCAAUCAUCCACCUAUAUCCAACCUUCUACCUGAUCUCCUUGUCACAUUUCCCAUUCUCCUAUCUGCAUGGUACGCAUGAUAUUUUCUAGCAUUCGCAGAAAUUAAUGGAGGACGUGAGGAAACCUUGGCACUGUUUAGGAAGAAGCAAGAGUUGGAAAUCCAUUAGAAGUUGAUGAGCUUGCAUACAUGUCAAAGACGUAGUACGUGGUCCUGACCAUGCUACAAAUAUUAGAAACUUGAGGAUGAAUAGAGGAAUGACUCAGGUGAAAGCAAAACACAUGGAUAGAUACAACUUUAAAGAAGCUGAACUGAGCAACCUGAACAAGGAUCAGGCCUUUGAAUCUGGUGGUUCUGAAGGAGAAGACAUCCCUAGAGUUAGUAGUAAUUAGUGAAGAUGGGACUGUACAAUAUGUUUGAGUAAGGUGUAUUUGACACAAUUAAAGAUCUUGUUGUUCCAUGUCGGAAUGAAAGACUCUACUAUAAAAAAGACCGCAAGGUUGUAGGAAAGAGAAGAGAAGCUACCGCCUUGUUUUAUCUCUGACGACUUGCUCAGUUCCUCCAAUCCUUUGCACAAGCUCGUUGAAUCUGUGACUCCGCUCCAUUUUCUCACGUGGCUCUCAUGCCAAAUGUAGCCUCGUUGCCAGGGUUAGUGAAACUCCACUGGUUGGGAAUAUGACACCAGGUUUUGAGAUAGAAGCUAUUUUUUUUUUUAUCAGGAAUUCAUCAAGGUUAAACUUUCAGAGUAUAUUGGGAAGAAAUAUGUGUAUUCUUACAUCUCGCAUGGGUCUAAACGGAUAGAAAGUCAUGGCCUUGGAGAUCUCAGGUGACUCUUCAUCAUUGGCAAGGGAAGAAUUAUCAUGCAAUCCCACUUCGGCCACUCCUCGAACCCCAUGCUACCAUCCAUCUGUAUCCAAACCUUUACCAGAUCACCUUUGUCGGCCCCACAUGCAGACUGUGCAAGUCUAUGGUUUGAGUUUGAGGCAAAUUUUUUCUAAAUUUGAUGAUUCUAAUUCAGAGAAAGGUCUCCCAACCAAUUCUGAGGAUGGUAAAGUAGACACAGUUGCACCCCGGGCCCACAUGCAUGACCUCAUUCCAUGGCCACCAUCCUAGGCCCAUUUUCAAAGUCCACGCGCUUCUUUUCUUUACCUUCAAAACUGAUUUUCGAAAAUCCAAUUUUCAAAUAAUUUAACUCACUACUUUUCAUUCUUCUUUAGUGUUUAGGAUCACCAAAAAUCCAUUUUUUCAAUAAAAUUUGCUGCCAUUUUCUUUCCGGCAAACAUCAUUUCACAUUUUUCUUGAUUUUUUUAAAUGUUUUGAAAUAAGCAUGAAUUUAAUUCUAUAAUUCCAAAUAAAGGAAUUUAUGGAAUUAAUUCAUGCAAAAAUAAAUUGGGCUUUGGUGGGGGCCCAACAUCAGUGAUGUUUUCUUUAAAAAAAUAAAUUUGAGUGAAGUGAAACAUCUGUUAAUGUUGGUUUCUUACUCUAUUUAGUGACACAUGUGAUAUAUUUUGUACUCAUUAUUGUUCACUAACCCUAUUUCAUGAUAGCGUUUUUUACUUGCUGCUAAGGUAUACUCUCACUCUCACUUUGGCUAUUUUUCAUGCAUGUUUUGGCUUCCAAUGUAUGAUCAUUUUGAUAUCCAUUGAUUUCCUUACCAAUUUCCAUACUUGUUUCAUCUUAUUUAGUGCAGACCUAUUUUUAGGGGCUUAGAGGGGUGCUACGGUCUUUACCAUACCUUUCCAAUAAGUAACCUGACCAUCUUAUUUAGUGGAGCCUAGAUUUGGUUUUUCAUAGACCAUUUUUUCCAAAUAAAGAGUCACACUUAGGGUUUUCUUUCUUAUUUUGUUUUGUUUUGUUUUUUUUAAAUAAGUGGCAAUUCCAAAUCAUUUUCUAAAAAAAUAAUUUUUUUUUUCAAAUAAAAAACGAGUUUGCUAUCAAGUGGAAGCACAUGCGCAAAAUAUGGGGUCCACAAAAUGGCGAUUCCACUGAGGAUCACUAGAGGGUCAAGCUUGAACUUAAGAUGAGGCAAAUAUGGCAUUUGAUUAAGCGAUUGAUGGAUACCUUCCCUUUGUGUUUCUUUAUGCUUGAGUGAUCAUAGAAAAUAUGAGGAUUCUGAUGUGGCGAUUUUUUUUCUGUGUUUCAUUGCUAUAUCUAUUUGGGACAUUGACUUGUUGAUUAUGUUGAUUGAUUAUCUUGCCUGUCUUAACAUAGUGACUCUGGUCUUGCCAUGAUUUUUCUACUCACCUCACAUGUAUAAACUCACUAUUGUAUAUCUUUUGACUUGAUGUGUUGAUUCUAUUGCUUGUAUAUUAUCUUGAUCAUUUUUUAGUAUGUUGUCUUUAUCACUAUUCAUCUUGAUUGUCAUAGCUUAUGUGUGGACAUGGAUGGUAUAUAUGUGUUUCGCUUGACUGCUUGUUGCAUGACCAUCCUUCUUCUAUGUGAUUGCAUGUUUCUUGUUUGUGUGGGUAGCACAUCUGUCCCCUUACCUCCAACCCUCUGGUAUCGGUCUUUUCUUUAUUUUCGGUUCUUACAUUUGCAAGUGUGAGGCCUUGUGUGUGCUUGUUUACCCUACCGAGCUAGAUGUUAGGGGUAGGGUCUAACGACGGUCUAUAUAGAUGUUUGGGAGCAUUCUGGAGGAGGCUGACACAUUGAUGCUGAUUGGAGUCCGAUCUUUGAAAACCUAUAUAGCCUAGAGGUAGGUUUCAUAAAUAGUUGUGUGACCAAUGUGUUUCCUUUUCUACUUUAACUUUAUAGGAUUUUUCAGAUGCACCCACACCGCUCACUAUGCACUCUAGUUGACUAUUGAGUAUUGAGAGUUAUGAGAGCUUUCACCAUAGGAAACCCCCUGGGAUGUUGAGGUAGUGCAUGUGUGGAGGUGAUGACCACUUUGCAUGGAAGCGCACUGUCUCUUCAGAGGCAUGUAGAGGGUUAUGUACCGUUGGAGGGUAUGAUCGCUUCUACUAGGGAUCUUUUAAAGUCUACCCAUUUCCUUUUAGAGCCCCCUUAACCUUGUAAGUUGAGCCUUAGAUCCUUCGACUAGGACUCCUCCCUUACACGUGGGUGCAUUUGAGGGCCUUUAAAGCCUCUUUGGUUAUAGUUUGGGCCUUAUACUCCCUCAUUUGGUCUCCAAUUGAAAGUGCACAAAGAUCAGUACGAGUUUGAGUUACAACCAGACAGUCCUUCUACACUUUGAUGCCUUGCUCAUUUCAGUUCAGAUUAGCAUUUCUUCCGUGUUUUCCCCGUGUCAUACCCUUAUUCCAUUCUUCAUGCUUUGUAGGAUUUGCUCUUUGUUCUCAGUCUGGAUUUACCAUCUUGGGUUAGAGUAUAGGGGAAAUUAGUUCGCUUUUCUAAGAGAUCAAACAUGGAUUAGCAGGUUGUCAUAGUUGACCAGUUCACAACGGCCAUGGCCUCUAUUUAGGAGGCCUUAGCCAAUCUCAGACAGGAGAUAGGCAGUCAGCAAAGUAGACAACUCGUAGUUCAAAAUGAGAUGUCUUAUGAUUCAUUACCACCUCUACUACCACCACCUAGUCCGACAAUGCCACAGGCCCCACCCUAUCUAUUACAUGGUCAUUCUGACCUUUCCCCACCUGCAGUAGUACAGACCAUAGCCCUUGAGGAUACUCACACAUGCAUGGAUUGUAUUGAGUAGCGUAUAAGGCAGUUAAGGGUAUCUGACAGUUUAGCGACUUAGGAUGAUCUUGAGGGUAUACUAGUGGCUAGUUUACUAGCCAAGUUUGGGAUGCCCGACAUUGAGAGGUAUAAGGGUGUUGGUUGUCCUCGCAUUCACCUUCGACUUUACAUUACAAUGAUGAGGGCCCAUGGGUUAGAUGAGUCACAAAUGAUCACCCUAUUCCCAUUAUCUCUGAGUUGAGUGGCCUAGCGAUGGUUCACAUCUUUGGAUUCCUCACAAUGUAGGGCAUGGGAUGACUUAGCUUAAGAGUUUUUGCGGUAGUUUUCAUUUAAUACUGUCAUAGACGUAUUGAGGAGAGAGCUUGAGGCUUUGAGACAGAGAUCGAAUGAGUCCAUUUCUCCCUUCAUAUCUCGUUGGCAGGGAAAGAUGAUAGAGAUUGUUGAUAGACCAUCAGAGAGAGACCAAAUACAAAUGGUUUUGAGAAGUCUGCAAUCCAGGAUUGCUAGACUUUGGUUCUCUUGUUUUAGCCCUAUAUGAUGUUGAGGAUGGUAUUUCGAGAGGAUUAUGGACAAAUUAUUCCCCUACUGAUGCUAAGGAGAAGAAACCAUCAAGAUGACAGAGAUCAACUGAUGUAGGCACUAUCAUUUUUACUAGUUAGAAGUCUCCCAUGCAUCAUCAACCAAUUCCACAACAUACUAGGACUCACCCUUCUUAUCCUCCUCAAUAGUAUAGGCCACAAGCACCUCUUCAGUUGUAUAAUCAGGCUUACUUGCCUCCCACACUAGCACUGCCUUCUUAUGCCGCAUAGGGCACAAAGAGACCUUUUGCUUCAUAUCCUACCCCAGUACAACCAUGUUGUGCAACAUAGAUUACAACAAGACCUUCAGCUUCCUAUCCUAGACCUAGAGCUCCGUAGACUUCCGCUCAUUUUGCUUUGAGGAUGAAGAGACAGUUCUCGCAAUUGGGCAUGCCCUUGAGCUAGGCCCUUCCGAAGCUCACAGAGGUUGGAUUAUUGAUAACUCUUGCUCCUAGGUUGUUGCCUUAGCCUAUCCCACCGCAGUUUAGGAUGGAUUUACAUUGCACAUAUCAUUAGGGACCAAGGCAUGAGACUGACCGUUGUACUGCUUUGAGACAUGCCAUCCAAGAUUUGAUUGAUCAGGGUUUGGUUCACUUGGGUUAAUCGAGUGUAACCACUAACCCAUUAUUGGCCCAUACUACACACGUAGUUCCCCCUCCGGCCGAUGUCAUACAUUUCAUUGACUUUGUUGAGCUUGAUGAUCAUAUUCAGAUGCUGAGUUGGGAUGAGUCUGAGUCAGAGCCUAUAGUAGCAGAUGGGAUUUAUGAGGUAGGUAGAGUGACCUUAGGCAUGCUCACAUCAUUCAGAUUGGUUCCCAAUAUGUCAUCAGUACAGUCAACCACAAUUGAGCCAUUGAUUUUUCCAUGUUAUAGUGUUCAAACUCCAUUUGUUUUGAUUCUAGAUGUUGAUGAGGUCCACACUCCAGAUGUUGAUGAUGUUCAUACUCUAGAUAUACAGUAUGUUAUUCGCGAAGGUAGGGUAGCAAGACAACAACCCCCCAUAGCCGCUAGACCCUUAGAGGGUUCAACUUCUCAUGAGGAGGUUAGGAGAAAGAAUGAUGAGAUUCUGAGACAAUUGCAGAGCACCCAUGCUCGUAUAUCUAUUUGGAGCUUACUAGCAUCUUCUACCACUCAUAGAGAUGCAUUGAUUUGACCCUUGAGUUAGAUCAGGGUCGAGAUUACCACUACUCCUAAGGGGUUGAUUCACAUGAUGACAGCUGGCAGAGCCACUUGCAUUGUGUUUUCUGAUGAUGAUUUGCCACCUAAGGGUUCAAACCAUACACGUCCUUUAUACAUUUCAAUUGGUUGUUGAGGCCACCGAGUCCCAUAUGUCCUUUUGGACAAUGGCUCGACCUUGAACGUCUGCCCCUUAACUAUUGCCAUUGUCCUCGAUUAUGUGCCCUCAGACUUUGGUCCCUCUACUCAGACAGUUAGAGCAUAUGAUAGCACUAGGAAGGAGGUCAUGUGCACUUUGGAAAUUGAGUUAUUGAUGGGUCCAACCACAUUUUCUACCAUGUUCCAGGUUUUGAGGAUUCCUACAUCCUUUAACCUGCUAUUGGGCCGACCUUGGAUUCAUAGAGUUUGAACCAUUCCUUCUUCCUUUCAUCAGAAGGUGAAGUUCAUUCAUGAUGGGCAGGUCGUCACAGUGCAAUCUAUUAGAGAUAUGUUUGCUUCUUCUAAGCUAGUGCUUCAAAUCAGUCAUAGUGAGGAUGACUUAUUUUUUACUGGGUUCACGCUUGAUGAGGUGUAGACUCUUGAGAUUGAGGACUUUUGCACAAACUUCUUGGCUAUGUCAUUUGAUCGGAACAAUAGUAUAGUGGUACUUGACAUGAUGAGGAGCACGUAUUUUCUGUAUAGCAUGGGAUUAGGGCGACGUCAACAUGUGCCCAAUGAGUUUAUAGCUAUCCCUAAUCAUGAUGUACCAUUUGGGCUUGGGUUCAUCCCUACUGAGGCUAAUAAUCGAUACAUGGCAUGACUGCACAAGGAGAGGGUGAGAGCUCGAUUGACUCACACACUAUUUGACUAUCUUGUUCGCCCAUACAGCAUAAGCUUGGCGAACUACUUUGUGAGGGCACCAGAGCUACAGAUGCAUUCAGAU